rnacentral:rRNA from 1 species
UAGGGAAUCUUCCACAAUGGACGAAAGUCUGAUGGAGCAACGCCGCGUGAGUGAUGAAGGGUUUCGGCUCGUAAAACUCUGUUGUUGGAGAAGAACGGGUGUCAGAGUAACUGUUGACAUCGUGACGGUAUCCAACCAGAAAGCCACGGCUAACUACGUGCCAGCAGCCGCGGUAAUACGUAGGUGGCAAGCGUUGUCCGGAUUUAUUGGGCGUAAAGCGAGCGCAGGCGGUUUUUUAGGUCUGAUGUGAAAGCCUUCGGCUUAACCGGAGAAGUGCAUCGGAAACCGGGAGACUUGAGUGCAGAAGAGGACAGUGGAACUCCAUGUGUAGCGGUGAAAUGCGUAGAUAUAUGGAAGAACACCAGUGGCGAAGGCGGCUGUCUGGUCUGCAACUGACGCUGAGGCUCGAAAGCAUGGGUAGCGAACAGGAUUAGAUACCCUGGUAGUCCAUGCCGUAAACGAUGAGUGCUAAGUGUUGGAGGGUUUCCGCCCUUCAGUGCUGCAGCUAACGCAUUAAGCACUCCGCCUGGGGAGUACGACCGCAAGG